GGGCCCAUAGCUCAAUGGUAGAGCGCUUCCCUCUUAAGGAAUCGGUUGGAGGUUCGAGUCCUCCUGGGCUCACAA
rnacentral:tRNA from 1 species